ACACAAAUACAUUGGUCAGUUUGUUCAGUGGCAGAGUUUUAUUUUGCCUCUGACUUUUUCUGUGAGGAAGAAAUGAUGAAAUGGUAUUCCAUCUGGUCUUUGCUUCAGUCACAUUACAUUUACCAAUUUCUGCAGCAAGUGGAGGAUCCAGGCCACAGUAAUCUUUAUUACACAAUCUUUCAGAUCCAGAAGCAUCCCAUCUCAGGUACUGACACAGAGUAAGAUGCAUAGGAUCCAUCAAUGCUAAGCUGUAAUAAAACCUACCAAAAGUUCUGACAAACAACACAAGCAGAAAGACUUUGCAUGUUUCUUCCCAGCUUACAGAGUGAUUUUGAACCUAUCAUUUCAGCUGUCCAGAUUGCCCUACUCAAUGUCUUCGUGUUUUACAGUCAAGCUGACACUAUGAAAAGGAUUUAACUUGCCUGAAGAAGUCUCGCCUCUGGCAUUAGUGACAUCUGUCCUUCAGGUUUUUGCUCUCUCUCUGCAGUGUGACUUUUUUGUGGUUCCCUAUUUUGAUGUCAGAUUGGGAUGUUCAUGUACCCCUACACUUACUUCAUGGGAAUCUUCAUUGAGAGAGAUUGAAAGGCAGCCAGGGAUGCGAGAUGAAAAAGAGGCAAGCCAGACCAUGCCUAUAAGUGAACCAUGAUAAUAAUUGGACAUGAUCCAGUGUUAAAUCUAGCUAUUCAUUUGGUGCUUUUUUAAAAAUGUCUCCUCAUGUCAGUGCUUAAUGUACCCUAGUUCUGCAUCUUUGCACAAUGACAGCUGAAUGGGAGGAUCACAGAGCUCUCCAGCUUUUCUGCUAAGAUGCAGAAAAAUGUAAAAUAAACUCAAUAUAAAUACUGUUUAUAAGAGCAGGGCAAUCUUUCUUUCACUUUACAAGCUGUACAGGCCAGAAGGGGUCAAGAAGCAAAACAAUAAAGAUUUAUUCUUGUAAAUUUCAAUUUAGUAGCAAAGUUACUGAUAACAGAUCCACAAAAGUUGCAUGUGUGCGAAUGAGAUUCUUAAAAAAAUGCACCAGUAAGUACUAGUGAUAUCAUUUCAAUAUACUUUUCCCAGUUCUUUUCAGCUGCUUGUUGGAGGCUGGAUUUAUCAACAAAGUAAAAGCAAGAUAGAAAAACAAGGUUUAAAGAUAACCUAUGGUUAACUUUACAUGUACUGGAAUUGCUGUAAAUAGUUUGUUCAAAGCUGUUUUGAUUGCACUCUCAAUAUAAAUUCUCAAAAGUCAAUGCAAGAAUUUUACAGUUUUGUACCAGUAAGAGCACAGUACUUUGGGUAAAAUACUGCAAAAUUGCAAUGGUUGGAAUGAUUUUUUACAACCCAAAUUUUAUUUCCAAAGUUCUGGUCAAAAGGGACAUAUUAAAGUUGUUUUCCCAUUUUAGAGCAUGCCUCCAAAGGUUUGGGCUUUACUAAAAACUGUAAAUAAUCACUCAGAUGUGCUUAAGUAUAGCCACAUCAAAAAACCUUGGUGAAAGACUAAUGUCUGAACUUAACAGCUAAAAAUACAGAGUACUGUAAAACAAAAAUAAAUGUUAAAAUGAAUACCACCUAAAGAAAAGAGAAAAGCCUGCCAUAACAAAAACAAUUUGACUACAUGCUACACAAAAUUUGCUGAGGCUUUCUGAAAUCUCAUACCCUUUGUUAGAUAGAAUUUGUCCUUCUUAAGCUCUGUGCUGAUGUCAGGACCUGAGUUGAUAUUUUAAAGGUGUUGUUUAAAGACUUCAGAGAAAUACAAAGAAAAUGUAAAACUGGUCCUCCUACAGAUGCAGUAACAAGUGGCGCAGAAAACGAAAAAUUCUUGCUGUGGAAGUAAGCAUGAAGAGAGAAUUCUACACAUUCACAAUUGUUACGCUUUUGGAGGUAUCCAGUGCUCAGGUGUUCUUGCAACAUCUACCCUAAUUGUAUUACGCAUAGUUUCAUUUCUUUAGUCCAGACCAAUUCAGUCAUUCAUGUCGCCCAUUAUAACAUCUUUAUCUCUCAGUUCUAGUAAAUGCUGCUUUGUUCAAAUUUAAGGGAUGCUUUGAUCCUAAAAAUUCUGCAUAAUUCUACUUUUCCCCAUGUAAGGACACUCCUCUUUUUGUCAUGAAAUCUACCCUUGUUUCUAAGGUGGAGAACACCUCAAAGAUAUUCCUAUGUAUUUUCCACAUCAACAAGGCUGGAACAGUUCCCUGGGUGUUUUAUUGAGCAUGGGUUGCCAAGCCAUGGCCAUUUCACAUUCAGUUCCCAUGUUAACUCAGUCAUUAAUUCAUUCUACUAUGUCUGAAGGAAACAGUGUUGGUCUCAUGUCUUUUAACUUAUACUGAAAACUCCACAGAACUGUUACAAUGCUACUUCCUUGCUGGCUGCAUCCAAUUUCUGAACUCCCCCUUUGCCAUUGCUUGACAGCUUUACCCACAUCAUCAAAAAGUGAUGUGGGUUAAAAACUCCCUCAGCUUUUAUAUUUUCUGCACUGGUGCAGUAUAAAUAAGAAGUAAGGCCAUUGUUAAUGUAAUCUUAGCAAUUAUUUGGCACAAACCUGCAGAGAUUAAUGAAAUUAAUACAAAAAUAGGAAAGAAUACAAAUUUCUAGCCAGAUAUGUGACACCAUUGGAUUAGGCUUACAUCAUUUUUCAUUUUCCAGAGAAAUGUAGAGGAAAACACUGUUACUGUAGAAUGUCUGAAGACAUACACAGUACAUGUACACAUACAUAUGAAAGACCAGCUUUGCCUUGCAAAGCAAUCAGUCUCUUGCAGGAUAAAGCUGGCUUUCAAAAUUCCAGCCAGGGAGUUAAGGAAACUCAGUGUAAAUAUAAAUCCCCAGCAGCUAUUUUUGGGUAUAUACACAUAGCACAUUCAUGUCAGCUAGUGCUGGCAGAUACAAAACACACCAGUGUAACUGCUAGGUGGUCUGAACUCUGAAUGAUGGCUCUAAAGUUUUUUGUUGUUGUUGUUGUUGUUUUUCUGAGACACUGGUCAGAGAAAGACAAUUACCUGCUGAUCUCGACAUAAAAAUCUAGGGAUUUCCUUGCUGAACUUAUCUGAAUACAACUAGGAUUCAGAAACUGAUAAAAAGAAUGAAAACUGUUCUCCCCCAUUCUCCCUUAACACGCUCUUUCUCAAGCCAUUAUGUUAUCCUUAUCCUUUGUGGAGGGGAAGUCAACUUUUUUGUGGCAUAAACGUAAUGUUGGAGAUUUGCUGCAGAGGACUAUCUAGAAACAUGGCUAAAGUUCGGAUUGCAGUUCAGUAACUAUUAGCUUGCAAACUCUUGGUAAUUUUUGUUUCCUAUUUGAAUGGA